UUUGUAAUGUUUUUAAUGGGCUUUUCUUUUCAAUCGUGAUCCUUCGUCGUCUGAAACGACUCAUCUUACGGCGUGUUCUUAGGCUUUCCUUCCUUCUUCCAGAUCCUUCGUCAUCUGAAUCGAUUCAUCUUCCGGCAUGAACAGCCAUUGAUUAAACGCCUCCUCUUCAUGUAACGUCUUCUCAAACAUCCUAUAUAUAGAGGUCGUCUAUGAACUGCUCAAUCCGUUGUUGGUCACCUCAUCUGCUUUUGGGAUUCCCGGAACAUCAACAAGAACGGAGAGUUCAUGGGGAUAACGAUUCUGCUCCUCGAUGAAUUGAUGGGAAAAAAAAAUCAAGGUGGUUAUUGAGAUCAAGCAACGAAAUGUGGCUGAGGAAAAUCAGUAAACACAGGAGCUUUUAAAGGAUAGGGAGCAAGCUUUGCAAGAUCAGUUAAUGCAAGCAAAAGACAGUGUCUCCACUAUGCAAAAAUUGCAUGAGUUAGCACAGAGCCAACUUUUUGAACUCCGUGUUCAAUCAGGUUGUUCAUUGACCCUUAAUAUGGUGAACCAGUUAUGUGCUUUCACACGUUAAGCGUCCUAUUAAUUAUUGUGAAAUGUUUUUUCACAUAUUAAUUGUUUUCCGGAUUGGUUAGGUCAAUAUGAUUUGGUUCUCUUAAGUUUCAACUGUUGUUCUUGAUGUCAUUUCUAAUGUUAUGAUAAGCGGCUACUGCAAAUCUAAAGAGAUCAAUAAAACUUUAUAGAUUCUUGAUAUAAUGAUUGUUUUCUUCAUGUUACAGGUUAGUCAUUCUGAGAAUUUUAAGAGAUUCACUUGGAAGAACGUCCUAAACUGCUCUGGGAGGUUGUUGGUUUGUCUAUGAGUUAUGUUAUAGACAUCGAGAAGGUGUUAAAAAUGAUACAUUUUUCUAAAAGUAAGAGUCACUUGCAAAACAGAAGGCAAGAGUGUAAGCUUGGACCAAUCUUAAACUUUCCAAAGGACUCGAGCUGUUAUUUUCGCUCACCUUACGACAAAGAAGGCUUAUGGGUUCUUCUACCGGAUUCAAACAACAUAUGGUACUUUCAGAAGGUUAGCUCCAUGGAUGAAUCUGAAGCUAUGCACACUUCUUCAAGUGCUAUUAGUUUGACAAUGAAAAGUUUAGGAGCCAGGUUGAGGCAAAGAACAAGGAAGUUAGAGAAGGUUAAAAGCUUAUCCAGAUUGGUAAUGGGGAAAUGCUUAAAACCUGCAGAAGGUACUAAAUUUGACUUGCUUAUGAGUUCUGCCUAAGAGAUGCUUGGAUCAGUUGUGAUGAAAGGACAUUACUGAAAGUUGAGUAUUUGAAAAGAAGAAGCGUUUGGAGGGUGAGGUCGCAGAAGAAGGUGUGGAGGAGGAAGAAGAUGAUAAUCUAUAGAAUUAUGUAAGCAAAUAUAGUGAAGACACGUCAAACACUUUGCCCUGGUGUUUGUUCUUCUUUUACUGUAGAUUCUGCCUCUAAAUUUUACACAGUCAAACACUUUACCCUUUUAUUUGUUUUUCUGCUGAUUCCAUAGAUGUUAAUCUCUAACUUUUUAAAAGAUUAAAUAACUAAUUUAGUUAAACCAGUUCUAAAUAAUAAAGAAAAAUGUUAUUUU